UACGGAGGGUGCAAACGUUGCUCGGAAUCAUUGGGCGUAAAGCGCACGUAGGCGGCCUGAUAAGUCGGGUGUGAAAGCCCUGGGCUCAACCCAGGAAGUGCACUCGAAACUGUCAGGCUUGAAUAUGGAAGAGGGUCGCGGAAUUCCCGGUGUAGAGGUGAAAUUCGUAGAUAUCGGGAGGAACACCAGUGGCGAAGGCGGCGACCUGGGCCAAUAUUGACGCUGAGGUGCGAAAGCGUGGGGGAGCAAACAGG
rnacentral:rRNA from 1 species